AUGACCAUCAUGACUGUGUUACCUCUGGGACACCUGUUGAAUCCUUCCACCAUUUAUAGCCCUGAGAAUUCAUUUGGCCUGGCCUUAACCAUUGCAGGAGGUGUGGUGAGCUCUGCCUUGUAUAAUGUGGAUGCUUGGUACAGAGCUAUCAUCUUUGACUGAUUCCGUGAGGUACAAGGACAUCGUGGUAGGGGAAGGGACUCACUUUCUCAUUGGGUACAGAAACCAAUUAUCUUUGACUGAUGCUCUCGACCACAGAAUGUACCAGUUAUCACUGGUAGCAAAAAUUUGCAGAAUGUCAACAUCGCAUUAUGCAUCCUUUUCUGGCCCAUUGCAAGCCAGCUCCCUCAGAUCUACACCAGCAUUGGACAGGGCUAUGAUGAGCAGGUACUGCUGUUCUAUCACAGUGGAGAUCCUCAAGUUAGUGGUGGCUUGCUUUGAUGCUGGAAAACUCAUCACCCAAAGAGAGCUAGCGUCCAGACAGGUGAGCGGAGAGCAGCAACCCUUGGGGUCAUCCUGGAAGACAUUUCCCUGACACAUCUGACCUUCGGGAAGGAGUUCACAGAAGUGGUGGAAGCCAAGCAGGUGGCUCAGCAGGAAGCAGAGAGGAUGAGAUUUGUGGUGGAAAAGACUGAGCCGCAGAAGAAGGCAGCUGAGAGUGACUCCAAAACAGCUGAGCUGAUCGCCAAACCCCUGGCCACCACGGGCGAUGGCUUGAUUGAGCUGCACCAGCUGGAAGCUGCCGAGGACAUAGCCUACCAACUCUCACACUCUUGGAGCAUCACCUAUCUGCCAGCCUGGCAGUCUGUCCUCCUACAACUGCCCAUGUGA